AUACGGAGGGUGCAAGCGUUAAUCGGAAUUACUGGGCGUAAGGCGCACGUAGGCUGUAGUGUAAGUCAGGAGUGAAAUCCCCCGGCUUAACCGGGGAAUAGCUUUUGAUACUGGGUUUCUUGAGUUCAGGAGAGGGUGGCGGAAUUCCAGGUGUAGGAGUGAAAUCCGUAGAGAUCUGGAGGAACAUCAGUGGCGAGGGCAGCCACCUGGACUGAUACUGACGCUGAGGUGCGAAAGCGUGGGGAGC
rnacentral:rRNA from 1 species